GAUGAACGCUGGCGGCGUGCCUAAUACAUGCAAGUCGAGCGAACAGACGAGGAGCUUGCUCCUCUGACGUUAGCGGCGGACGGGUGAGUAACACGUGGAUAACCUACCUAUAAGACUGGGAUAACUUCGGGAAACCGGAGCUAAUACCGGAUAAUAUAUUGAACCGCAUGGUUCAAUAGUGAAAGACGGUUUUGCUGUCACUUAUAGAUGGAUCCGCGCCGCAUUAGCUAGUUGGUAAGGUAACGGCUUACCAAGGCAACGAUGCGUAGCCGACCUGAGAGGGUGAUCGGCCACACUGGAACUGAGACACGGUCAAGACUCCUACGGGAGGCAGCAGUAGGGAAUCUUCCGCAAUGGGCGAAAGCCUGACGGAGCAACGCCGCGUGAGUGAUGAAGGUCUUCGGAUCGUAAAACUCUGUUAUUAGGGAAGAACAAAUGUGUAAGUAAAUAUGCACGUCUUGACGGUACCUAAUCAAAAAGCCACGGCUAACUACGUG
rnacentral:rRNA from 1 species